rnacentral:tRNA from 1 species
AUUUAUUUAAAUAAUGAAUUUAUUAAUUUUGUUUUGAUAAAACAAAUAAGAAAAAUAUUUUUCAAUAAAUA